rnacentral:rRNA from 1 species
AAAAAAAAGAGAUGUCCUGGUGGAUGCAGAGAGAGAGAGAGCGCGCGCGCGAGCCAGAUUGACCAUAUCAUCAUGCAAUCAUGGGGGCUUUGAACCUCUUCCCAAACCUGUCGUCGAGCUGGGUCAAGCUCAUCCACGGCCAGGCGUGGCGCUUAUUGGUCCGGAGAGCGGGGCGUGGCUCAGUCAGCACCGGUCACGUACGUAAACCCACCAUGCACCAGCACCACACAUCACGGACGCCAGGGAGUUGCAAGAGGAUAAGGCAAUCGUGUCCCCGUGACUCCAUUUCCUACGGUACGCAUGCAGCUAGCACAGCCGGCCGAAGCUCUGCUCUCAGCUCGACAGCAAUGGCGAGAGCCUGCAAGUGCAGCCCCGCCUUGAGGCUGCUGCCGAACCCGAUCACGGCACAGCUCCCGAGCGGCAGGAGCCACGGAAGAUGCAGAUGCCUUGCCGUUCACGCGCAGCUCCCAGCCGAGGAUGCCGAUGAUUACCCCGCUGAGUCACCCAAAAGGGUCCAGGUUACACAGAGCCUCAGGAGGAGCCGCCGGAGGGGAGCCGCCGGGCGGCAGAGCCUGAUCUCCGUCGGGACGUCGCGCGGCGGAGGAGAUCAGUGGGGCAGCGACUUCGAGCUGACGCUCCGGCAGCUGAGGCUGGACGACCUGAUCGAGGACGGGCACAGCGACGCCGACGUCCUGGUGCACCUUCUGGUCCAGCAGCACACCCAGUUCGGAAUGUCGAUCAAAGGGCGAGUGGUCACAUCGCUCACCAAAAUAUGUGAUUCCUGCUCCGCCCCAUACUGCACAAAGAUUGAUGAGCAGUUCGACAUUACGGUGCUGUCUUCCUCCAGGAAAGAUCAGAGCGGUUUGCCUGAAAUCGGAGACAGCGAUCCGUCAGUCAUCUAUGUGAAGCCAGGAACAGAAAUCGAUAUCGACUCGUCAAUCCAAGAGACGAUACGACUAACAGCGUCAGCCAAGAGUUCAUGUUCGGAGGCGUGUGAGAAGUCUCCUGUCGUGUGGAAACGUGCUGGUAACCAGAAGAAGCGUUACAGCCAAACGUGGUCAAAACUUCUUGAUCUCAAGAGAACUCUGGAUAAGGCGCCCAGCUAAAUUACUGUUGCCGAUGCAGUUUCAACUCGACGGCACUCUGAUUAUCUGAUAUGAAAAUGCUACAGUGUGAUAUAUCGAACAAAAAGCUCAUGUGACCGGAUGGUUAAUCAAUGGACAUGGUUAUCCAGUGAUUGUUCCUCUCCAUAAUAAUUAACUGUAUACUCAUAGAGACUACUACGCUAUAACAAAGCAUUUCCUCAAAUAUAUUACCUAUGGGAAAAUAUGUAUGGAUUCAGAACUUUUUGUUUUGUUUUUGAAAAGAGCCAAAAGAC